UUGGGAAUCUUCCACAAUGGGCGAAAGCCUGAUGGAGCGACGCCGCGUGAGGGAUGAAGGCCUUAGGGUUGUAAACCUCUAAAAGAGGGACGAUAAGGACAGUACCCUCAGAAUAAGCCUCGGCUAACUACGUGCCAGCAGCCGCGGUAAAACGUAGGAGGCGAGCGUUAUCCGGAUUUACUGGGCGUAAAGCGCGUGCAGGCGGAUUGGAGAGUUGGAUGUGAAAGCUCCCGGCUUAACUGGGAGAGGUCGGUCAAUACUUCCAGUCUUGAGUGCAGUAGAGGGAAGUGGAAUUCCGGGUGUAGUGGUGAAAUGCGUAGAUAUCCGGAGGAACACCAGUGGCGAAAGCGGCUUCCUGGACUGUAACUGACGCUCAGACGCGAAAGCUAGGGUAGCAAACG
rnacentral:rRNA from 1 species